rnacentral:rRNA from 1 species
AGGGCACAUGGUGGAUGUCUAGGCAUCAGGAGCCGAUGAAGGACGUGGGAGGCCGCGAUAGGCCUCGGGGAGCUGUCAACCGAGCUGUGAUCCGAGGGUGUCCGAAUGGGGAAACCCAGCACCCGUCAUGGGGUGUUACCAGCAUCUGAAUUCAUAGGGUGUUGGGGGGAACGUGGGGAAGUGAAACAUCUCAGUACCCACUGGAAGAGAAAACAACCGUGAUUCCGUGAGUAGUGGCGAGCGAAAGCGGAUGAGGCUAAACCGUGUUCGUGUGAUACCCGGCAGGGGUUGCGGGUGCGGUGUUGUGGGGUUUGGUCGUUUCAGUUCUGCCGGACUGGGGAUGGCAUGUGCGUGGUGUUAGUGGAAGACUUCUGGAAAGGGUCGCCGUAGUGGGUGAGAGCCCCGUACGCGAAAACACUGCGUGUGUCAUGGAUCGGAUACCCGAGUAGCAGCGAGCUCGUGGAAUUUGCUGUGAAUCUGCCGGGACCACCCGGUAAGCCUAAAUACUCCCUGGUGACCGAUAGCGGACUAGUACCGUGAGGGAAAGAUGAAAAGUACCCCGGGAGGGGAGUGAAAUAGUACCUGAAACCGUGUGCCUACAAGCCGUCAGAGCCUGACUUGUCGGGUGAUGGCGUGCCUUUUGAAGAAUGAGCCUGCGAGUUAUGCUUCGUGGCGAGGUUAACCCGGGUGGGGUAGCCGUAGCGAAAGCGAGUCCGAACAGGGCGUAGCUGUCUUUUUGGAGAUGGUGGAGUCGCGGGGUGUAGACCCGAAGCGGAGUGAUCUACCCAUGGCCAGGUUGAAGCGCGUGUAAGAGCGCGUGGAGGACCGAACCCACUUCAGUUGAAAAUGGAGGGGAUGAGCUGUGGGUAGGGGUGAAAGGCCAAUCAAACUCCGUGAUAGCUGGUUCUCCCCGAAAUGCAUUUAGGUGCAGCGUCGUGUGUUGCUUGCUGGAGGUAGAGCUACUGGAUGGCUGAUGGGCCCUACAAGGUUACUGACGUCAACCAAACUCCGAAUGCCAGUCAAGUGUAAGCGCGGCAGUGAGACUGUGGGGGAUAAGCUUCAUAGUCGAAAGGGAAACAGCCCAGACCAUCAACUAAGGCCCCUAAGCGUGUGCUAAGUGGGAAAGGAUGUGGAGUUGCAUAGACAACCAGGAGGUUGGCUUAGAAGCAGCCAUCCUUGAAAGAGUGCGUAAUAGCUCACUGGUCAAGUGAUUCCGCGCCGAUAAUGUAGCGGGGCUUAAGUUAUCCGCCGAAGCUGUGGCAACCUGUGUGGUUGGGUAGGGGAGCGUCGUGUCAGUGGUGAAGCUGCCGGGUGACUGUGUGGUGGAGUUGAUGCGAGUGAGAAUGCAGGCAUGAGUAGCGAAUGACGGGUGAGAAACCCGUCCGCCGAAUAUCCAAGGGUUCCAGGGUCAAGCUAAUCUGCCCUGGGUAAGUCGGGACCUAAGGCGAGGCCGACAGGCGUAGUCGAUGGACAACGGGUUGAUAUUCCCGUACCGGCGAAGAACCGCCCAAGUCAUCCAGUAAUGCUAAGCACCUGAAUACCACGGGUUCUCCUUCGGGAGUCUCCGUGGGGCUAGCGUGCGACCCUAUGCUGGUGCGGCUAACGUAUUAACAGGUGUGACGCAGGAAGGUAGCCUCCGCGGGGCGAUGGUUGUCCCCGUCUAAGGAUGUAGGGCGAACGAUAGGCAAAUCCGUCGUUCACAUGCCUGAGAUCUGAUGGUGAGUCCGUAUGGACGAAGAGGGUGAUCCUAUGCUGCCGAGAAAAGCAUCGACGUGAGGUUCUAGCCGCCCGUACCCUAAACCGACUCAGGUGGUCAGGUAGAGAAUACCAAGGAGAUCGAGAGAAUCGUGGUUAAGGAACUCGGCAAAAUGCCCCCGUAACUUCGGGAGAAGGGGGGCCUGAGGCGUGAAGAGAUUUACUCUCCGAGCGUUUGAAGGCCGCAGAGACCAGUGGGAAGCGACUGUUUACUAAAAACACAGGUCCGUGCGAAGUCGUAAGACGAUGUAUACGGACUGACGCCUGCCCGGUGCUGGAAGGUUAAGAGGACCGGUCAGCCCUCCUUGUGGGGGUGAAGCUGAGAAUUUAAGCCCCAGUAAACGGCGGUGGUAACUAUAACCAUCCUAAGGUAGCGAAAUUCCUUGUCGGGUAAGUUCCGACCUGCACGAAUGGAGUAACGACUUCCCUACUGUCU